rnacentral:rRNA from 1 species
AGUCGUACGGUCGGGAGCAGUGGGGAAUAUUGCACAAUGGGGGAAACCCUGAUGCAGCGACGCAGCGUGCGGGAUGACGGCCUUCGGGUUGUAAACCGCUUUCAGCAGGGAAGAAGCGAAAGUGACGGUACCUGCAGAAGAAGUACCGGCUAACUACGUGCCAGCAGCCGCGGUAAUACGUAGGGUACGAGCGUUGUCCGGAAUUAUUGGGCGUAAAGAGCUCGUAGGUGGUUGGUCACGUCUGCUGUGGAAACGCAACGCUUAACGUUGCGCGUGCAGUGGGUACGGGCUGACUAGAGUGCAGUAGGGGAGUCUGGAAUUCCUGGUGUAGCGGUGAAAUGCGCAGAUAUCAGGAGGAACACCGGUGGCGAAGGCGGGACUCUGGGCUGUAACUGACACUGAGGAGCGAAAGCAUGGGGAGCGAACAGGAUUAGAUACCCUGGUAGUCCAUGCCGUAAACGUUGGGCACUAGGUGUGGGGGACAUUCCACGUUCUCCGCGCCGUAGCUAACGCAUUAAGUGCCCCGGCCUGGA